AAAGCCGGAUUAAUACCGCAUCCGCUCUGUGGAGGAAAGCGGGGGAUCUUUCGGGACCUCGCGCUCAAGGGGCGGCCGAUGGCAGAUUAGGUAGUUGGUGGGGUAAAGGCCUACCAAGCCGACGAUCUGUAGCUGGUCUGAGAGGACGACCAGCCACACUGGGACUGAGACACGGCCCAGACUCCUACGGGAGGCAGCAGUGGGGAAUUUUGGACAAUGGGCGCAAGCCUGAUCCAGCAAUGCCGCGUGUGUGAAGAAGGCCUUCGGGUUGUAAAGCACUUUUGUCCGGAAAGAAAACCUCUGGGUUAAUACCCUGGGGGGAUGACGGUACCGGAAGAAUAAGCACCGGCUAACUACGUGCCAGCAGCCGCGGUAAUACGUAGGGUGCGAGCGUUAAUCGGAAUUACUGGGCGUAAAGCGUGCGCAGGCGGUGAUGU
rnacentral:rRNA from 1 species